GGUUAAGCGACUAAGCGUACACGGUGGAUGCCCUGGCAGUCAGAGGCGAUGAAGGGCGUGCUAAUCUGCGAUAAGCGCCGGUA
rnacentral:rRNA from 1 species